rnacentral:rRNA from 1 species
AUACGGAAGGUCCGGGCGUUAUCCGGAUUUAUUGGGUUUAAAGGGAGCGCAGGCGGAGAUGCAAGCGUGACGUCAAAUUUCGGGGCUCAGCCCCGUCUCGCGUCGCGAACUGCGUCCCUUGGUUGCGGGAAGGGGAGGCGGAACUCGGGGUGUAGCGGUGAAAUGCAUAGAUAUCACGAAGAACUCCGAUCGCGAAGGCAGCCUUCCGGCCCGUCAACGACGCUCAUGCUCGAAGGUGCGGGUAUCAAACAGGAUUAGAUACCCUGGUAGUCCGCACAGUAAACGAUGGACACCCGCGGUUUGGCCUGUAUGGCUGAGCCGCCAAGCGAAAGCGUUAAGUGUCCCACCUGGGGAGUACGCCGGCAACGGUGAAACUCAAAUGAAUUGACGGGG